CCCAAUAUAGGUCAAGCCAAAAGAUCCCAGUGAAGACCUCAAAAUCGGAAGCGAUAAGCAAAGACAUGGUGAAAAAAGGGUUUAGAUUUGUUGGACCUACUGUUAUUCACUCAUUUAUGCAAGCAGCUGGUCUCACCAAUGACCAUUUGAUCACUUGCACAAGACACCUCCAAUGCACCGCAUUGGCCUCUCAUCAGCCAGCCGUAGCCCCAGCCCUGUAGGACAACAAUCCUGACAACUGAAGCUAGCUAAGUUAGCAUAUAUUCUCUAACUAUAGAUAUUGUCCUAUAAUAUAUGAUGUAGUUUUAAUGUGUGUAACAAGUAAGACUUUGUUGGGCGUUUUGAGGAAAAUGUAAUGUGACAUUAUCACUGUAUGUUUAAGGACGAUUAAGUUUUUUUGUUAGAUUUCUCAAAUUACAUGUAAUUUGAGAACUACAAGAAGAAUGGGUGUUGUGACUGGUGAGGGAAGGCAGAGGGGAGACAGAGAACAUGUGCAGGCGGGCAGGCAUUGGGAUUCAAUUGAUUUUUGUGAUCCCCACAUACAAGAAGUCUCCAUUAUUUGCUUCCUUUAAAAUGGGUGCUGGGGAUGAUAAUCAGUGCCAGAUUGAUGGGCCAUGGGAGUAGGACCCCUUUCUAAAUAUUAUAUUUAGGUAGGUUGAAUAUGAGGUGUAUAGAUAUUUAUUUCUGCUUUGAAAUUAUGGAAACUUUCUUCCUCAUCGGUACUGGUAUAUCACUUUCCUUGUAUCUGAAUCCUAACCUUUAGUGAGUAUAAAGUUUGUAUAUCAUGAACUAGUGUGAAUUGUGAGUGUUAAGUGUGAAAUGAAUUAUGGAUACUUGCUUCUUAAUUUCUUUCCUCCUAAUCUUGGCCACCCAAGUCAAGUAUAUCUCCAUACUCCAUGCACUCUUAAUUUCUUUGACAUUUCAAUUUAAAAGAUUGCAAGUCUGACAGGCAGCAGUGUACCAAAUAUUCAUUUCGAUAUUGUAAACAUUCACUAUUUAUAGCACAAUCUUUUUUUUCUUUCUUUUUCUUUUUUCUAGUGGGCUUUCGCAUGCUUUUGGGAAUAGAAGCAUUCUCAGGGUUUGAUGCAGAAGUUGUUGCCAAAUUCACUGAGAAAAAGAUGACAUCAUUAAGUGCUAACUAUGCCAUAGAUUUAAGCCAAGUUCGAGGCAUUGUUGAUAACUCCAUUCGAAUUCUUGAGGUAAUAAAUGAUAUUCAAUUGGAAAAAUUUCUUGAGUGUACUAUAAAUUUGAGUUUUGAACUUCGCUCAUAUUGGAUAGGAAGGGAUUUUAUUUUUCAUUAAAAUAAUACCAAAAAAAAAAAUUACUAGGCAUUUGCCCUAUCUUAAAGUUGUUGAUGUUACUUAGAUGUCUUGAUAAUAGUCCUGCUUAAAGUUGUUGAUAUUACUUAGGUGCAUUGUUAAUAGUCCUGCUUGUUAAUAAUUUCAAUUAAUUUUACAGGUAAAGAAGCAAUUCGGAUCAUUUGACAAGUACUUGUGGGGAUUUGUGAAUCACAAGCCAAUCAACACCCAAUAUAGGUCAAGCCAAAAGAUCCCAGUGAAGACCUCAAAAUCGGAAGCGAUAAGCAAAGACAUGGUGAAAAAAGGGUUUAGAUUUGUUGGACCUACUGUUAUUCACUCAUUUAUGCAAGCAGCUGGUCUCACCAAUGACCAUUUGAUCACUUGCACAAGACACCUCCAAUGCACCGCAUUGGCCUCUCAUCAGCCAGCCGUAGCCCCAGCCCUGUAGGACAACAAUCCUGACAACUGAAGCUAGCUAAGUUAGCAUAUAUUCU
rnacentral:lncRNA from 1 species